CUAAUUAAUUUUAAUUAACUUAAUUAUUAUGAUUUGACAUCAGUUCACCUUCUCACCUUAUACUGUGUUGGAGCAGCAGCAGCUGACUUGGUCGUUGAUGCUAAUCAGCAUGUUUUGAAUCUGAGAGUAAAUGGGUCUGACUACAACUCUAAAAAUACAGGGUUCAACUGGAGUUGUUCUGAGAUCCCCUAAGAACCAUAGGGUUCUUGGUCAAUGAAAAACAGCCCCAAAAGGUUCUUCAAAGAACAUGUUAGAAGGUGGGUUCAUCGAGGAACCUCCGUUGUUGCUGGACUUCUUCCGGGAACUUCGCAAUUACAACUGAAAACGAUGGUGACAACGAUGGUUUGGAUGCGACAACAGUUUGGAUGCGACAACAAUCUUCUCAGAAAUGAAUCAAGUCCAUGGAAUGGAUAUAGACAAAACGAGAAUUCAAGAACUAGCAGAGGUAGAGAGGCAGGGGUGAGGACAUCAUCCUGCUAUUUUGACAGUCCCUGAAGGACAAUACAGAAGAGGUAUUUGCUCUUAUUCCUUCCCUUUCUCUAAUGUAUUUUGUAAUAAAAUUAGCAAGUGUAGUAAGAUCAAUGCUUUACUAGGACUGGAGACCACAGCAGCGAUCCUGCUCUUGUCCUACCUCUUCAAAGAGGACCCGAGUGGCCUUUAUGUCCAUGCCUAUGCACCAAUCAUCUGUUUCUUCAUAAACACAAGUGUGCAUGCUUAUAUAAAACUACAGCUGAACAUUUGUUAUGUUCUUUGUAAGUGUAUUAAUUUUUUCUUACUUUUGUUGACACAGAUUUCACCGCUCUUCACUCCUUUACUGCACAUCGGCGGAAAUCCAUUUCACCAUGAGAGUGAAAUCCCGCUGGCCUUUGAUGGGGAGAACUUCCACGCCCUCGAGGACGUCUCCGUGGGACUUGGGGCUCUGCUAGGGCUGUAUUUUUUAUUUUCCCUUAAAUUUGCUAUUUUGUAAUGUGUUUUGUUUGGUAAAUUGUUUUGUAAAUAUUAAUUCACAUUUGUGGUGCC
rnacentral:lncRNA from 1 species